GUUGGGUAUGGUGGUGCACGCCUGUAAUCCCAGCAUUCAGGAGGCUGAGGCAGGAGGAUCGAAAGUUCAAAGUCUGCCUCAGCAAUUUAGCGAGGCCUUAAGCAACUCAGUAAGAUCCUGUCUCAG
rnacentral:sRNA from 1 species